AAUCUCCAGCUGAUCACCAAUCAUUCAGUCCUCUUCCAAAACCAUACAACUUGCUUAUCAUUCCUCCAUUGAUGGAAAUACAAACGUUACCACUUAAUUUAGACCGGAUAGAAAAGAAGGUCCAGCUGCCACUGCCAGAUAUACAGAGCUAAACACCGGAGUAGAACAUGAAAAGAUAUGAGCCUGUGCACCUGCAAAACACUAAUGAUAAAUGAUAAUUGCAUGGGCAUUAGAUUUAUAAUCAGUAACACCUGAUACAAAUGCAUUGCAGAUCCAAAUGAAAAAGCUAAGAGGAGAAUAAGAGAAGAUCAAAUGACAAGUACUAACAUACAAUUUGUAGUUCAUUUGACCACCUUUGUGCCCGUUUACAUCUGCUAUAUCGUCUUCUAGGACAUAUGGAGAUCAGAACUGAACAUAUUAAGGGGAAAAAAAUCGGAGAUUCCAAGACCGUAAGGAAUGACUGUGAUAAUCUAGUCUGACCUCCUGUAUAACACUGACCCAGAGGAUGUGUAUGCCUUAAGUACUCUUUAUUUGAAGGUAAAUCCUGAUCAUUAUCUGUAAGGCGCACUACAUGACAAUGGUAUGGUGCUUACUUUGGGGAAAUACUCGGGUUUGUGGAAGGAGGAGUUUUUUAAGAGGGAUUUGAAGGAGAAGCUGCACUGGUGGAAAUAUGAUUAAAGGGGAUCAAGGCACAGAGGAGUGUAGGAUCUCCAAUCACAGGACUUCGUGAUUAUUAUUUCUGUCCUUUAAAGCAGACUGCAGGUUAUAUGGCAAUCACUUUAGGACCAUAUGAUACCAUAAGUAUCAUUUCCAGAAGCAUGUGAUUAAUCAAUCUACAGUGAGAUUUUGAAAAGCCCAGAAUGAGAUGAGCACCAAAUUCUCCAGGUUCUGUAAAGAAAUAUUUAGCACAGAUACAGUGAGAGUCACAAGCAAAAGCCUGGUUUGUGGAAUACAGAGACUGAAUCAUAUGAGAUAAUGAACCAGUUAGACAGUAUGAGAGACUCUAGCUAUACAAUGGCACAAAUGGCAAGAGAUGAACUGAUUAGAAGAGUUUUGUGAAACCUGCCUGUUUCAGUUCACAGAGUCACCCAACGGCAGUCCUGUGUACCAUGCCACAUCCUGCAACACCCCAAAGCAACAAAUGGGUGGGGAAAAGAUGGCAUUUCUGUCUUUGGAAUCAGUGUCCUUAUUGCUGAACGCUUAUGUCAAGACCCCUUAUGUGAUUUGAAUGCAGCUUUUGUGGUCAAUUCCAGCAAUGACAAUGCAUUUAAUUAUAUUAGCAAAAUAAGCCACCCGGCAUCACACACUGCUAAACCCAUUAAGUUCAGAAGCCUGCUUAUAAGAACUCAGGUACUGCUGCAAAACAAAGAUAAGGUUUUCCAGUCAGAAGUGCUGCCCCCCACACAAAGCAUUUCUGAAGUAAUUAAAUGUCUACAGAUUUCUUUGAAGGAAAUGAUUUCAAAGUCUCGUGACCACAAGAUAACCUCCCUU